UACAGAGGGGGCGAGCGUUGUUCGGAAUUACUGGGCGUAAAGGGCGCGUAGGCGGCCUGCUAAGUCAUACGUGAAAUCCCUCGGCUCAACCGGGGAACUGCGUGGGAUACUGGCGGGCUUGAAUUCGGGAGAGGGAUGCGGAAUUCCAGGUGUAGCGGUGAAAUGCGUAGAUAUCUGGAGGAACACCGGUGGCGAAGGCGGCAUCCUGGACCGGUAUUGACGCUGAGGCGCGAAAGCCAGGGGAGCAAACGGG
rnacentral:rRNA from 1 species